rnacentral:rRNA from 1 species
GAGUAACACGUGGGCAAUCUGCCCUGCACUCUGGGACAAGCCCUGGAAACGGGGUCUAAUACCGGAUAUGACUGUCCAUCGCAUGGUGGAUGGUGUAAAGCUCCGGCGGUGCAGGAUGAGCCCGCGGCCUAUCAGCUUGUUGGUGAGGUAGUGGCUCACCAAGGCGACGACGGGUAGCCGGCCUGAGAGGGCGACCGGCCACACUGGGACUGAGACACGGCCCAGACUCCUACGGGAGGCAGCAGUGGGGAAUAUUGCACAAUGGGCGAAAGCCUGAUGCAGCGACGCCGCGUGAGGGAUGACGGCCUUCGGGUUGUAAACCUCUUUCAGCAGGGAAGAAGCGAAAGUGACGGUACCUGCAGAAGAAGCGCCGGCUAACUACGUGCCAGCAGCCGCGGUAAUACGUAGGGCGCAAGCGUUGUCCGGAAUUAUUGGGCGUAAAGAGCUCGUAGGCGGCUUGUCACGUCGGUUGUGAAAGCCCGGGGCUUAACCCCGGGUCUGCAGUCGAUACGGGCAGGCUAGAGUUCGGUAGGGGAGAUCGGAAUUCCUGGUGUAGCGGUGAAAUGCGCAGAUAUCAGGAGGAACACCGGUGGCGAAGGCGGAUCUCUGGG